rnacentral:lncRNA from 1 species
GAGAAACUCAUGUCUGAAGAAAGAAAAAAAAGGCUGGCCUCUAAACUUAAGGGACGUUUUUUUUUUUUUUUUUUUGUGUCGUAUCCUGCAUUGGAAAUGUCACAUAAGGUUACUGAAGAUCCACCCUUAUCCUGCCUGGCGGGUUGAAGUGAAGUGCAGCCCUGUUUUAGUGCGCUUCAAGUACUCCAUUUUUUUCUCUCCCUUGUCCCCCCCUAAUUGUCCUCAUUGAGCCGUGUGGACCAGUUGCACAGCCUGUCUGGCUGGGGUCAGCGAGUUUACCGUGUGCUUUUUAUCUAUAUUUCAUGCUAUGGCGCUGCGCGCUGACAGCCACACAUCCACCAUGAGAAAAUUCAGAGACGCACAAGGAAUGCCGAAAGGGCAAAAUGAAGAUCAUUCAAGCAUCAAGUCACAUUUUCUAUAGCAAUAAAAUACAAUAAAGCGUCGUUUAAUUUUCCUUUGAAUGUAAACAAAAAUGACAGAAAGCACACGGCGCAAAAGUGACCUAUGCAGUCAUAAAUUGGAAACUGAAGUGGAGUACAAAUAGACGAUAAAUAUAACUACUACUUUCCGGAUUGGUAGCAAUUAAAUAAGCGAUUAUAAGAGUGAAAAAAAAAUAAAACGUCGCCUACUUACGAUUCAUUUCAAUAACUUCUGGGCGUUAUUGUCUCGCCCCUGCGCCUCUCCGGUCGUUUGGAGACGGAAAAAAGUCUGUUCCUCCGGCGAAGCAGGGCCAUUCUCAUCGAGGGGAUUGUCAGGCUUCAUCUGAUGGCGAUAAAGUUUGCAUAAGAUAACACCUGGUUAAUUCUGCCGAGGACAGUGGACGUCCGAUUCCGCCGAUGUCAGGUCUUCAGUGAUGCCUGCACUCGCCGGGAUUGAGCGCUGUGAGGAGAGGGAGCGCACAGAAAGGCGUCAUGUGAGCCGGGGAGAGGUGCGCCAUUGGCCAGCCGGGGAUAAGUAUGAUAAGGCUGCUCUGUGCGCCAUUGGCCCACGACGGGAGCGGAGGCGCCUCCUCACUUGGCUGUGCGCAAGAAUAGUUACACGGAGGGCAGCGGGGAGAAAUACACGUUUUCUUUCCUCUCAGUUAAAAAGAGGACUGAAUGAAAAUGUCUGGAAUGAAGACAAAGUCUGUGGAAGGCAGUUUCCUCAGAGGGAGGGGCCAGAACUGUAUGUGUGGGGAAAUUCUGGGUCAAUCAAUAACCCCUGAUUUUCCAACUCGUACCAACGACUUUGAGAAUGACAUGGUUGGUUUUUGUGUGUACCAUCACUUCCAUGUGGCACCAUGCUGCCAGAACAGUUUGCUGUAUGAAAGGACUUGAACAAAACUUGCAGAUGUGUCUUUGUAUUACUGAUAAAAGAAAAAAAAACAGUCACUUACAAUAACAAUAACGUUAUCCAGGGUAGAAUUGUUUUUACAGCGUGGUUAAUGUAUCAUUAGUGAUGAAUUUGGUUUUAGAUAUAAAUAUAAUCGCUGAAUCUAUACACUAAAUAUGUUUUAUGACUUUGAAUAUACACCUUUGUAAGAAGGCUGAUGAAUUUGCAGUGCUGCUUCCAAUCAUUCUGCCAUUAUGCCUCAUCAUUUCACUCACUGCUCUUUUCAGAGAAGCAGAUGUGAAUGAGUCUGUGUGUGUGCAUACACUGUUUGUGGUUGAAAGUGUGUGUAUGAGAGAGAGAGAGAGAGAGAGAGAGAGAGAGAGAGAGAGAGAGAGAGAGAGAGAAAGACAGAGAGAGAGAGUUAGCCAAAUAGCCCUCUCUUUUGAAACCCAGAGGGCCUGGCUGACUCCAGUCUCCAACAUGGCCGCCAUAAAUCAGUGAGAGAAGGAGCUAAGUUAAUUGCACAGGCAUUUAUGAAGGAGAAAGCCUUGAUUUACUCCAAAAGCUUUACAUCUCCCCUGUGGAUGUGGAGUGAUGAAAGGAGUGGAGCAAGGGAAAAUGGGAGGAGGGGCACGGUGGUGGGGACAGGGAUAGCACAUGCGGGGUGUGAACAAAGUUCACUUGCAGCAUAUUAGAUAAGCUGAUUGGUGAACUAGAUUGUGGACAGAUAUUCAUCUAUUGCCUUGGGAAUAAUUAUCAAAACUUGAUAGAAGUCAGGGUGACUUUGGUUUAGAUAGGAAAUGUUGAUUAUGGAGUCAAAUAACUGGAUAUUGGAUGUGCAAGUUAUCUGACAUUUGCAUAAUGUAAAUACUUUGAAACAAACAUAGGCAUGUAACAAUUAGGUGCAGUCUAUGUAUCUAGUCCUCCCGCUUGACAAAGGUUUACAUUCAAUUUCUUCAAGGAAAAGCAGGCCCUCACACACUAGAGGUGGACAGCAUUGUACUUUUUCUGACAUUUUUGUGGUACUGGUACUUUAGUAGUAUUAGUAUUCUUAUUUUGAGAGUAUUAACAAUUUGAACCCAUUACAUUUCAAAAGAGGAAUCUUGUAAUGUGUGUAUUGUUGAUUAUAUUUACCUGCCACCACACAAUCAUGCAAAAGCUACAAUAACCUUAAAUUAUGAUGCAUUAUUGUAGUUUCAUUUACAUCUCAUUGUAUGAGGUUGUUAUUGUAUGUCUAGUGCUGCCUGAACCGUCUGCAUUUUUACAAUAUGUCAAGUUUGUCAUUGCAAUAAAAAUGUUUGAAUGGCCAUUAAACUGAAUUUGUUCUCAUUUUAAUACAGUAAUAGAUUUCAAUGGAUGAUUAAACUUUUAAUUUGAAUGUAUUUUUACAUUCUGGUGUCGUGUUGUGCAUCAUAUUGUAAUGUUUAAUGCUCUUCAGUGGUGGGUAAGCUUUGUCAAUUAACUUCUCCAGAGAAGUUUGAUCAAGGUUACACCCCAUGGUUAUUCAGUAUACAGCAGUAACGGUGGGUGUGUUUCAUCUGCACCAUGCAUGUUUUUUAACACUGGUCUAACAUGGUUGCUACUGAAAUAUGCCCUUGCUCUGUUACGGACUGACACCACAAAAUGUGAUAUUUGCCACUGAUGAUUCAGACUGCUGGAAAAAUGGCAACUAUCAACUCUGGCUGCAUUGGAUUGGAUAUCUUGACAUGAUAUCACAUUGUUGGUGAAUUGUCUUCAGGCAUAAGAUGAAUACACCACUGAACAAAAAAUGGGCGGAUAGAUGAAAGGUGAAAGCUAUUUUAAACAGUUUAAGGUGGGUGUUUUUGUAGUCUAGACUCUGGCUGAAACUUCAUCCUCUCGUUGAGAGCUGCCUAAAUGUGUUAACAUUUGGUUACACAUACUAUGCAUCCAUCUUUGCUAAUUAGUAGUGGUAACAAACUUUGGAUAAGGACAUGCUGCUACCCGGACCUCCACAAAGAAACCACAAGUGAACAAGUUUGAAGAGUUCCCAGGCUUUCUGAACAUCUGUUUUAUCCACAAAGAGACAGAUUAGCACUUAACCCCACUUCUCCCCUUUCCUCCACAUUUAGCAGCGCCAGCUACUGUCUAGCUCACAAGCUUCUUUCCUGUGUGAUGAUGCUAUCAAGGUUUCGACUGCCUUUUGGCAGCUGUGUGCUGCAUACAGCCCUCUCUCUCACACACACAUAGUGAAAAAGAAGGUGGAAGUGGUGGGGAACCGUUGAGACCGUGGUUUUGAAGGUAGGCCUAUGUGGCUGCUGAUGGGAAACAUUCGUUACAAUAGGGUAGAAAAAGCUGUAGCCGCUGCAUAAGAAGACAGAAAUAGUGAAUCAAGUUGGCAUUAGGAGGGCAAGACAAACGAAAAAGAGUAAAAGAGUGAAAGAGAAAGCUGUAUAUUUUUACCACGUUUUAAUAAUGGGUUUUAGAUCAGUUUUUUUACUCCGGAUUUUAGUAGUUAAAUGUUACAUAUAAUGAGUAAAAUUACAAUUUUACUUGCACUUGUUUGCCUUAGCAGUCAUAUCAUUAUAUACACGUUUUGAUGUUUGUUAAGCAAUGUUUUUAGCUGGAG